rnacentral:snRNA from 1 species
AUUGUGGCAAUUAGGCUGCAGCAUCUGUCAUUCCAUUGAUCUGUUGGAUUGAUUCCAUUUAUCUGGUGGGCCAGGCCAGUGUCCCCUGACUGCUUCACCUCUCUCAGUGCAUUAUUUGGAAAGGGUAGUCUUCUAUAUAAAAGAAGGCCUCAUUUUCCAUCAAUCUGCACUCCCCUGCUAGGACCUUAGCUCCUCUGGAAGGAGAGUAGGGUUAAUAUAUUAGGUUGGUGCAAAAGUAAUUGCGGUUUUUGCCAUUUGAAAGUCAUAGCAAAAACCACAGUU